rnacentral:other from 1 species
AAUUUGACGCGUAGGGUACAGAGGUAAGAUGUUCUAUCUUUCAGUGCCAGAGCUUUAGGGCUCCAGCGAAUGAAAGUAGGCUUAUUUAGCCGCCCCACUGCUUGCAGUGGGGCGUUUUUUU